UGCAAGUCGAGCGGUAACAGGAAUUAGCUUGCUAAUUUGCUGACGAGCGGCGGACGGGUGAGUAACGCGUAGGAAUCUGCCUGGUAGUGGGGGACAACAUGUGGAAACGCAUGCUAAUACCGCAUACGCCCUACGGGGGAAAGGAGGGGAUCUUCGGACCUUUCGCUAUCAGAUGAGCCUGCGUGAGAUUAGCUAGUUGGUGGGGUAAAGGCUCACCAAGGCGACGAUCUCUAGCUGGUCUGAGAGGAUGAUCAGCCACACUGGGACUGAGACACGGCCCAGACUCCUACGGGAGGCAGCAGUGGGGAAUAUUGGACAAUGGGCGCAAGCCUGAUCCAGCCAUGCCGCGUGUGUGAAGAAGGCCUUCGGGUUGUAAAGCACUUUCAGAGGUGAGGAAGGGUGUGCCGUUAAUACCGGUAUGCUUUGACGUUAGCCUCAGAAGAAGCACCGGCUAACUCUGUGCCAGCAGCCGCGGUAAUACAGAGGGUGCGAGCGUUAAUCGGAAUUACUGGGCGUAAAGCGCGCGUAGGUGGUUUGUUAAGUCGGAUGUGAAAGCCCAGGGCUCAACCUUGGAAUUGCACCCGAUACUGGCAAGCUAGAGUACGGUAGAGGGGUGUGGAAUUUCCUGUGUAGCGGUGAAAUGCGUAGAUAUAGGAAGGAACAUCAGUGGCGAAGGCGGCUCACUGGCUCGAUACUGACGCUGAGGUGCGAAAGUGUGGGGAGCAAACAGGAUUAGAUACCCUGGUAGUCCACACCGUAAACGAUGAAUGCCAGUCGUCGGGGCGCUUGCGCUUCGGUGACACACCUAACGGAUUAAGCAUUCCGCCUGGGGAGUACGG
rnacentral:rRNA from 1 species